CCAGCGAUGCUGUCUACCUGCUGUUCGACACGCUGUUGUGCAGCAUCACAACAAGGGAUCCAUGGUGUUGAGUGGAUGUGCCUGGCCAUCUUGCUCAGGUCUCUGUGUGGAAUGCACAAAAUUCCUCCUGUUUUCCUCAACAGUAGCACUGACGAGCUGUACAUAUCUUUGUAGCUUCAUUGUGAAACAUUACAACAUUAAUGCUAACCUUAGUAUUUUGUGGUUUUAACAGUUUGCACCACUGUCUGGCAUACAUACUGCUUUCACUCCAAAGACAAAAGACAAAAGACUUUGCCUAUGGCUCCAUGUACAGUAGAGAAACCUGUUCUCCACACACCAGCCGUCUCUCCAUCUACAGACCACUCAACUGUCGUCUCUCCAUCUACAGACCACUCAACUGUCGUCUCUCCAUCUACAGACCACUCAACUGUCGUCUCUCCAUCUACAGACCACACACCAGUUGUCUCUCCAUCUGCAGACCACUCACCAGUUGUCUCUCCAUCUGCAGACCACUCACCAGUCGUCUCUCUAUCUGCAGGCAACACACCAUUUCUCUCCUCUACAGUGCUCCCUGAAGAGAAUAAAAGUGACUUCAGUGAAGAGGAGCUAUCGGAUGAUGUAUCUGAUCCAGAAUACGUUCCAGGCUCAGAAAGUGACACAGAGGAUGAGGACCAA